rnacentral:misc_RNA from 1 species
UGCGGUGAAACGGGUACACUAUGGCCU